GUAGGCUUACGGGGUUGUAAUCAGGAAUAAGGUUUUAGGCUAAUUGGGUCACAAGUGUAACGGCCUUUGGGCUUGGGUGUAAUCGGGUUCUGGGUUAGCUGGGUAUUACCUUGUAAUUGGGCCUCGGGUAGACUUAAAUUUUUAGGCUCUGUAUAUGGACUAUUUAAAACUGUAAACAUUCAUUUAUUUUUUAUUUUUUGUUUAAGGCCCGGGCAAAUUUAGGUUAUUACAGCUGCCCCUCUUUACUCAUUUCUAUAUAAUAGGAAUCGAGUAAAGACUAUAAAAGGCCAAAUUUGCCCGGCUUUAUCAGAUCAGGAUUCCUUAAUCUGCUCCUUGCAAACUCAUGAUUGUCAUGUUGAUAUUUUCGAUCUGCUCUCCGUCGAACACAGAGACGCCAAAUCUGCUUCUUCAAUUUGUUCCCUGACAAUACAGAGAUGCCAAAUCAUCUUAGAUUUGCUUCAGCGUAAACACGUGAAAUCCAAAUCUGCUGUGUCUUCGAUUUGCUCCUUGUGAACACAAGGAUGCCAAAUCAUCUUGGAUCUGCUUCAGUAAAAUUAUCUGAAGGUUAGAUCUGCUAUGUCUCUGCUCUCUGUCGAAAUGGAGAUGCCAGAUCUGUUAUCUUGGAUCUGCUUUGGUGUGAGAACAUCCAAAAGUCAAAUCUGCUAUGUCUUCGAUUUGUUCCUUGUAAACACAAGAAUGCCCAAAUCAUCUUUGAUCUGCUUCAGUAUAAACAUCUGAAGGUUAGACCUGCUAUGUACCUACUCUCCGUCGAAAUGGAGAUGCCAGAUCUGUUAUCUUGGAUCUGCUUUAAUGUGAAAACAUUUAAAAGUCAGAUCUGCUAUGUCUUCGAUUUGCUUAUCGUCGAAGAUAGAGAAGCCAAAUUUUGUUAUCUUGGAUCUGCUUCAGUGUAAACAUGUGAAGGUCAGAUCUGCUAUGUUUUGGUCUGUUACCCUACUACUCAGGGGGUUAAGGCGCAUCAUCUUUGAUCUACAUAACCUGUAGAAUGCAUAUGUGCUCAUGCCUGAUGAUUAGGAUGCUAUAAUCGAAGUGAGUUAAAUGCUCCUAACUAGACAUGUUAUGAUGCAAAAUGUUAUGAAUAUGACUCCUAUUCCAGACGUCACCACUCAUUCCUUCGUUUAUCUUUACUUCUCUCAAAGUAUUAUUCCUACUCAGCCUGUAGGCUUGUAUCAUUCUUCAAAUGCUACGACCCACUGAGAAUAUCUGUAAGAUAAUAUUUUUUUUAAUCAUUAUUUCGGACUGGAAGAAAGAAAUUCCUCAAGUUCUUUCAACCCUCCCUUGCGUGAAUUUCUCGAACAAUUGUCCUGUUUUAGUUUCUUGUAUUAUCUAGAAAUUUCCAUAGUAAUGAACAAAACUUCAUUUGUGAAAAUUAUUUAGUUCAUCUAUCAUUAUUUAAUACAACACACUUUAAGAAUAAUGGAAGAUAAAUUUAUUCUUGAGAAUAAUUAGAUUUGAAUAAAUUUGUCAAAAAUACAAAGGAAAUUAAUCUGAAAGCCUAUCUUUGAGAAGAAUAAUAAUCUAAAGAUAGCAAACAGGAAAAAAGUUAGAUGCCCUAGAUAUCGCCGUUUGAGCGUUUAUAUGCCAGCUCCCUGAAGACUUUCUUGAGUUCAACAUGUGUUUAAAAGACCCAAAGUACUUUGUCGAUGCCUCAAUAUGCAACGCGCUUCACUCUUCAUUGAAUUAGAUAUAGAAAGAUUACCGUGUGCUCUUCAAAAUUUGAGCUGCCUUUUCGGGUUUUUAACUUAAAAACCCCUUUGGUCACAAGGCGCCCUUUGCGGGUUUUCACCUUGGCCUCUCCAUUUUUUUUUUGAAAACUCAAGGCGCCCUUUACAGGUUUUCACCCUAAAUUCCUCUCUCCUUUAGACAAAUUACUUUUUGACUGAGUCUGAAUUCACUGGAGUGUGUAAACUUUUCCCAUCCAUUUCUGUCAAGAUCAAUGCACCCCCAGAGAAGGCCUUUUUUCACGACAUACGGCCCUUCCCAAUUUGGCAUCCAUUUUCCUCUAAAAUCCUUCUGAAUGGGAAGAAUCUUUUUUAACACAAGAUCCCCCUCAUGGAAUUUUAUUGGUUGCACUUUCUUGUCAUAAGCCCGCAUCAUUCGCUUCUGAUACAUCUGACCAUGACGAAUGGCCCUUAGCCUAUUUUUCUCAAUCAAGUUCAACUGGUCAUAUCGCGAUUGAAUAUACUCUGCUUCAUCCAACUUUAUCUCCUAUAAAACUCGAAGAGAAGGUAUUUCAACUUCAAUGGGUAACACUGCCUCCAUUCCAUAUACCAACGAGAAAGGGGUUGCCCCAGUACAAGUUCUGAUGGACGUUCGAUAAGCUAAGAGUGCAAAUGGUAACUUCUCAUGCCAAUCUCUGUAGGUUUCAGUCAUUUUCUUCACUAUCUUCUUGAUGUUUUUGUUAGCAGCUUCUACUGCCCCAUUUAUCUUUGGGCGAUAUGGAGAGGAAUUAUGAUGCUUAAUCUUGAACUGACUACAAACUUCUGCUAUCGUUUUGUUGUUCAAGUUCAAUGCAUUUUCUGAUAUGAUCCUUUCAAGCAUCCCAUACCGACAAAUAAUCUCUUUUUUCAAAAACUGACUUACAGCUGAUUUAGUAACAUUUGCAUAAGAAGCAACCUCUACCCACUUCGUGAAGUAAUCAAUGACCACGAAAAUAAAGCGAUGUCCAUUUGAAGCUUUUGGUGAUAUUGGCCCAAUGACAUCCAUGCCCCACAUAGAAAAAGGCCAUGGAGAAGUCAUAACAUGUAGAGGUGAAGGUGGUACAUGAAUCUUAUCUCUAUAAAUCUGACAUUUAUGGCAUUUCUUGGCGUAAUUGAUACAAUCCCCUUCCAUAGUAGACCAAUAAUAUCCAAACCUCAUGAUUUGUCUAGCCAUCGUGAAACCGUUAGCAUGUGUCCUACAAACACCCUCGUGAACUUCUUCCAAGAUUAACUUAGCUUCCACAGUGUCAACACAUCUCAACAGUACUUGGUCCUUUCUUCUUUUGUACAAAAUGUCCCUGUCUAAAACAUAAUUGCAAGCUAAUCUCCUUAGAGUUCGUUUAUCAUUUUCAGUUGCUUGUUCUAAGGUUCUUAUUCUUCGUUCUAUAGCCGCUCGGAGUCCCAUAAUGCAUGCUUCAUACUCAUCCAUAUUGUUUGUGCAAUCAAAAUCCAACUUACAAGUGAAUGGAUGAUAAUCGCCAUUCGGGGAUACCAGGACUGCCCCAAUUCCAUUUCCCACUACAUUGGAUGCCCCAUCAAAGCUCAUCCUCCAAGAAUAAUCCUCUGUAGUUGCUACACACAUCAAUUCCUCAUUUGGAAAAUCGAAAUUCAACGGCUCAUAAUCCUCUAGAGCUCUACUAGCUAGAAAUUCUGCUAUCGCGCUUCCUUUUAUAGCCUUUUGACUCACAUAGACUAUGUCAAACUCUGAAAGCAGGAUUUUCCAUCUCGCCAUUCUCCCAUUCAACACUGUUGACUCCAUCAUAUACUUCAAAGGGUCAAGUUUUGAAAUAAGCCAGGUAGUAUGAUAUAGCAUGUACUGUCUUAGCCUUCGAGUCGUCCAGAUUAAAGCGCAACACAAUUUCUCAAUCGAUGAAUAUCUCAUCUCACACUCUGUAAAUUUCUUACUGAGGUAGUAUAUCGCAUUCUCCUUUCUUCCCGACUCGUUAUGUUGACCAAGCACACAUCCCAUGAAAUUAAUAAACACCGACAAGUACAGAAUUAAUGGUUUAUCUAGACUAGGUGGAGAUAGUACUGGAGCGUUUAACAAGUAUUGCUUAACUUUAUCGAAGGCAUUCUGGCACUCUUCAUUCCAAGUACCUUGGUUGUGUUUUCUAAGGAGGCGAAAUAUAGGGUCACAUUUCUCAGUUAAUUGUGAAAUAAACCAAGCAAUAUAAUUUAACCUUCCAAGCAAACCUCGAACUUCUUUCUGAGUGCGUGGCGGAGGCAAAUCUCGUAUGGCUCUAACUUUGUCUGAGUCAACUUCUAUUCCCUUUUCACUAACCACAAAGCCUAGUAAUUUCACUGACCUAGCUCCGAAAGUACACUUUGCCGGAUUAAGUUUUAACUGAAACUUCCUUAAUCUCAAGAAUAGUUUCCUUAAAACUUCAAUAUGUUCCUCCUCUGAUCAAGAUUUGGCAAUCAUAUCAUCAACAUACACCUCAAUUUCCUUGUGCAUCAUAUCAUGGAAUAAGUUCACCAUGGCCCGUUGGUAUGUUGCCCGUGCAUUCUUCAAUCCAAAUGGCAUUACUUUGUAGCAAAAGGUACCCCACAAAGUUAUGCAAGUAGUUUUAUCCAUGUCCUCAGAAUGCAUCUUUAUCUAGUUGUACCCCGAGAAACCAUCCAUGAAAGAGAACAACGAAUAUCUUGCGGUGUUGUCCACCAAAGUGUCGAUGUGUGGCAAAAAAAAUUAUCCUUCGGGCUAGCUUUGUUCAGAUUUCUGUAAUCAACACACAUUCGUACCUUCCCAUCCUUCUUAGGGAUUGGUACAAUAUUAGUUACCCAUUCAGAGUACUUGACCUCUUGUAAGAAUCUUGCAUUAAACUGCUUCUUAACCUCGUCUUUUAUUUUCAGUACAAUAUCUGGCCUCAUUCUUCGUAACUUUUGUUGGACUGGCUUACAAUCCUGUCUUAUUGGAAGACGAUGUACUACAAUAUCUGUACUCAACCCUGGCAUAUCCUGAUAGGACCAUGCGAAGAUAUCCUUGAAUUCACGUAACAACUCAAUCAGUUCUUGCCUUGUGUCCUUAGUAAUUAGUGUCCCAAUUUUCACCUCUUUUCUUUCCUCAAGGGCUACAUUUUCUAUUGCCUCUUUCUCAUGGGGCAUAAUUUGUUUCUCCUCCUAUUUUACCAUUCUCAACAGAUCUGGAGACACAUCACUAUCUUGGACAUCUUCAAAAUCUUGAGGUUCCUCUAAACACAUGUUUUGCUUGCGAGAGAAAUCAGGAUUUGUAAUAUCAAUGCUAAUGUCAUUGAUAUCUAAGGACUUAUGAAGUAUAAAAGAAUAUACAAAGAAUGAAUGAAUUUAAGAAUGAUUAUUUAUGUACUAUGAAUGAAAGAAUAAGAAUUGUCAAAAUUUUAACGAAAUAUUGGUUGAUAAAAAUGAAACAAUACUCGUUGAAUUGAUAAAAGUUAUGUUUUAUUAAAAAGAUAAUAGAUGAUCAUAAACCUAUUUCACAAAUGUAAUUCUUUUACUCCUAGGCUCUAGAGUAACAAGAAUGUUUCGAGAAUUAUUCUGAAAAAUUCCUAAAGAAUACGGGAAGUUCCUCCGCAGUCCAAUUGUUCAGAGAGCUUCCUGAUUCGUAAGGGCGAAUGCCCACAAGGUUUCCUUUCUUUGAUUCUUCAUCUUGUAUAGCAUUAACUUGAUGACUUCCUUCUAUGAGUAACCCUCUCGAUAUGAAGGUUCGGGAUAUUGGAGGGGAUGUCAUCGGCUCCCACUACACUUCUCUUCUAUUGAGGUGCGCCCUUCUUCCUUCUUGACGCUUCUCAAUUUCCUUCCUCCUUUGCUUAUAGUGUGGUUUAAAUCCCAGACCAAAACAAUCUCUCUUCUCUUUAAGUUCUGGGAUUUGAGUCCUUCCUUGCAGGUACCUUCCUAACCCUUUUCUUGGUAAGGCUCCCUUCCCCGCCAUCAUUUGUAGAGCCAUCCUCGUAGCUCUUGCUAUCUUUGGCACCGAUAGCUCACUUCCUUCUGAAAUGAAGGUUGCAUUUACGAAUUCUAAAGAGCAGAAGGAGCACUCAAUAGACUCUUCGUUCGUCUCGACAUAAGAGGCCUUGCUAGUGACUGCGGCUAUAAUGUCCUCCUCCGCAUUGAUGGUUAUUAACCGUCCAUCGGUCACUAAUUUCAAUUUCUGGUGCAAUGACGAUGGUACCGCUCCCGUUGAGUGUAUCCAUGGCCUGCCUAAUAAGCAAUUGUAGGAAGGCUUGAUAUCCAUUAACAAGAAGUCUACUUCAUACAUGUUAAUGUCAAUUCUUUCCAUCACCUUCCUUUCUGUACCGUCGAAGGCUCUUACCACUUUUUGACACGUGUUCAUGUGAGAAUCGUCAAUAGGUAAUCUGUUUAAUGUAGACAAUGGUAGAACAUUUAAAGCCGAUCCAUUAUCAACGAGCACGCUUGAGAGUGUGUACCCCUUGCAUCGAGUGGUAAUGUGUAAGGCCUUAGUUGAACCUCUGCCCCCGGUGGGAUUUCAUCAUCAUUAAAGUAGAUGAAAUUAUCUGCGCUAAUGUUGUUCACCAAUCGGUCUAGCUUAUAAACAGAUAUGUCAUGGGUGACAUAUGUUUCGUUAAGCACCUUCAUCAAUGCCUCCUUAUGCACCUCAGAACUCAAAAGUAGAGCCAAUACUGAUAUGCGAGCCGACUACUUACGCAACUGCUCGACCACACUAUACUCGCUAUGCUUAAGGAACUUUAGAAAUUCCUUAGCCUCCUUUUCCUUUACUGGCCCAUUGACAGGCAUUUCAGCCCCUUUCUCCUUCUCAGUACUAACACCCUUUGCUUUUGUAGCCUCCUCUCUGACGUCCACCGUAUCAUACCGCUUCCCACUCUGUGUAUGGGAACCUUCAACUUGUACAUCCUUAGACAUACUGGCUAUAUCCUCCUUCUCCGGCAUUGACACUUGACAGUUAUAACUCCAUGGUACCCUCUUAUUAUCCUUAUAAGGAAAGGACACAGGUUUAUGGAUUAUGACCUUAGGCACCGUUUGUGCCCCUACUUCAUUAUUCCCCUGCAAGGAAAUAAUAAUCAUUGGCCGACUGAUUCUUUGUUGUUCAUCGUCCAGCACACAUACUUGUUUUUCUCUAGAGCUACCUUCAAAAAUUUGUAGCUCUUUAUUGUCUAUAAAGCCUUACACCAAGGCCUUGAAUUCUUCACAGUCUUGAGUUUCAUAUCCUUUUUUCUCAUGGAACUCACAGUAGUUCCCCGUUUUUUAUCUUUCUCUCCUAGAGGUUAUCAUCCCUCUCUUCAUCAUCUCCUCCCAAAUCACCUUCAUAGGCAUCCUCACCUCAGCAACAUUUUCCUUCAUCCUUCUCUCACUAGCUUCACCAAUGGCAUUCACUUCUUGAUCGUCGUGAUUUGGCAAAGGGUUUUCAAUAUUUGGGGUACUAUCAAAUUUCACAACCCCUAUUUUGAUCAACCUCUCCACGACCUUCUUGAAUCCGGUACAAUUUUCAACUGAGUGUCCCGAUAUUCCAGCGUGGUACUCGCAUCUGGCGUUUGCAUCAUACCAUUUAGGAUAUGGAGGCUGUAAUGGUUUCAAGUGGAAAGGAGUAAUAGCAUGUGCAUUGUAUAAGUUUUAAUAAAGCUCAUGAUACGUCACAGGGAUAGGUGUGAAUUGCAUCCUCUCGUGCCUUGUGCUCGAUUCCUGUAUUUGAGAACCCUGUUGCCCAACCGCAGCUACUUUGGGUUGACCAACUGUGACUGCCUUCGAGUUGAAGCUACUUGUGUUGUUCACCUCAUUGUCUUUUCUCCUUGGGGCUGAUCUUUUGGCCGUUUCCCCCUCAAUUUUACCACCUCUUAUGGUGUUCUCAAUCAUCUCUCCCGCUAUGACUAUGUCCGCAAAACUUUUGUCAGUGCUUCCAAUCAUGUGAGUAAUGAAUGGAGCCUUCAGAAUGUUGAUGAACAACAUGGUGAUCUCAUUCUCCAACAAUGGUGGUUGAACUUGCAUGGCAACCUCUUUCCAUCUUUGAGCAUAUUGCCUAAAAUUCUCAUUAGGCUUUUUCUCCAUAUUUUGCAGCGUGAUCCUAUCUAGCGUCAUGUCAGUUACAUGAUUGUACUGUUACAUGAAGGCUUGUGCAAGAUCCCUCCAUGAAUUUAUUCUGGCCCUGCUCAACUGAUUGUACCACCUGGCGGCUGCUCCCACUAUGCUAUCUAGAAAAUAAUGAAUCAAUAGUUGAUCAUUGUUUACAUAUCCGGUCAUCCUCCUACAGAACAUCGUAAUGUGGGCCUCUGGGUAAGUAGUCCCGUUGUACUUUUCAAACUCCGACAUUUUGAAUUUAUGGGGAAGCACCAGGUCUGGGACCAAACUCAAGUCUUUGGCAUCAACUCCAUGAUGCCCAUCAGCACUCUUUAGAUCCUUAAAUUUCUCAUCCAACCAUCUACAACGUUCCUCCAACUGUUUUGCAGCUUCAGCUCUUAAAUUUUCCUUUUCAGCCACGUCUAAGUCAAGAAUGAGAGGAUUGGUAGGGUUGUCACCCAAAUUGAAUCCCGAACCAGUUGGGUUAUUCAUGUGGAUCCCAGUAUCAACCGAUCCAUGUUGAGGCCUUAUAGUGACAGACGACCUCUUAGGAAGCACCUCGGUUUGUGUAGGCCCGUGGGGUGGAGUAAAGCCUGGAGAAUAAUCCUCUUCCUCCUUACCAGUGAUUGCCAUAGGGGCUUUUCCCUUAUUAGUGGCCUUCAGCAACUGAACCAUCUCAGUCAUCAUAUUCCUCUGAGCCUCUAGCAUUUGCUCCCUCAUGUCGCUUUGCAUCUUGGCUAAUUGUUCUUGCAAUUGGUCCUGCAUGUCCAUUUGUAGCUGUUCAAAUCUUUGAUCCAUAUUCCUAAAUUUUGCGUGAGUUCCGUACUGAUGCGUGGUUUCCAGAUUUUCUUUUCUACUUCUGUGGUAAUUUUAACUAAUUAGGGUCUUUUUAUAACUUUGUAUGCAAAUGAGGCGAUGAAAUGCUAUGAAAUGUAAAUGCAUGAAUGCCAAAAGGACAUCGAUUCUGAUUCAAUCUCAUUUAUAGAACUUUAUUUAGAAAAAGAAUAUCUUUACAUAUAAAAGGAUUACAAAUACGCUUUCGCCCUAAUGCCCAAAGUUUUAACUCUAUCUAAUAAAAGGGCUAACUCUCGUCCUAUAUCCGAUGAUGACUCAUACAUCAAACUCAAUACAUCAGCUCGUAUUGCCAAGUCUUGCACGUGUUCAGCGACCUCUCGAAUCUGGGCUACGGCUUCUCCAAUGACGUGAUCCCUUUCUCUGACCUGUCCUCUAGACCGAUGAAGCUCUCCCUUCAAAUGAUCUUCUCGUACCCCAAGUUGAUCGAUUAGGAGCUUACUAUCCUGCAAUGCUGAUCCCAACUCCUCAACUUUGCCUUUUAAUUUUUUUGCCUCAACUGUAGAAUCACGACUUCGAUGCAGAUGAAGGGAUCGCCCGAGCUCAGUUAUUUUAGUCUUUAAACCUUGAUUUUAUUUUUCUAAGGUCAAAUUCCGUGAUUGCAUCUCUUGAAACUUCUUCUCCCAAUAUUUGGCUUUAGCUUUUUCCUCUUGGACCUCUUUCUGCCCUUGAUCUGAAAACCUUCCUAGUCCUGCUCUCUUCAAAGUUAUUUGUGCCCUUUUAUAGUGCUCCUUUAAAUCAUCUCGGUCCUCCUCGAUCUUUCUUUUUUCUUUCUUCUCUUUCUAGACCUCUAUCUUUUGAACGUCGACAUCUAGGCUCAAAUACAUCUUUUUUUCUUCGAGCUUUGCUAUCCUCUUCUCGAACUCCAAGUUCUUUCUCUCGAACUCUUGUUUCAUAAUUUCUAACUCCGAGGGUGUCACUUGCAAAUAUUCCUUUAUCGGUCGAGCUCCUUCCACACUUGGCUUAGGGAUGUUAUCAUUAAUCCUUCUAUCUCUCCACUCGACGUACUCCGAAGUCAUAGCAGAGCUAAUAACUACUCCUUUUAAUCGACAAGUCUUGUUCCAAGCACUAGAGAUCUCACUGACCUUCCUCUUGUAGUCAGCUCCUCUAUACAUGAACUCACUCUGAACCAAACCGUAAGUUACCGGUAUGAACUGCCUCAAUCCAUGUUGCCUCAGCACAAGCAAGGGGGCAUAACCAAUGGCACCCCGAAUUCCCAACAGAGGGACCCAAUCAAAACUGCCGCAUCAGUAAAGAAUCUCACCAGGAAUCAUCCAUGGAGCCCUCCACUCUACGUCCAUUGACUGCAGAUUCUAAAGUAGUGCUAUCUAAUUUUUUUCAAGAACAUCAACUUUCCUAGUUGAAGCUGCUAUGUCCUUCAACGGGGGGUAAUCCUCGAAGAAGACCCUACAAACCACCCUAUCUAUCAAUCGGAAGUGACUGUAGAACCAAGCUAAAAGUAACUGAGCACAACCAACAAACCUGCCCGCACUGGCCUUCCUACAUGCAUUCAAGGACCUGAAUGUCUCCGCCAAAAUCACAAGAACAGGAGUGACCCAUUUGUUAAGUCGAUGGAAGAGAUCCGUGGUUGCCUCGUCCACAUAUCUCAAUGCCCUGGGGAAAACCAUCAAUCCGUAUAAGCUUAAGGCAAAGAUGUCUACCCUCUUCGCCUCGUCUGGAUGUGUCUGGAUCAGAUCUUUCAAAGCUCCCCAUGGAAUGCACUUACUCUCACCCUUUUCCUUAAUUCUAGCCAUAAUCCACUGCUCGCUCAUCCCCGUAAUGGUCAUCAGCUUCUUACCAAAGGUUGGGACAUAAACAGCUCGAGAAUAAAUCCUAUCACAUUGAAAUCUAAGAUACCGAAGUAAGGCUGUGUACUCCUCCACAGUAGGCACUAAAUCUACCUCCCCAAAGGUAAAACAACUGUAUGCUGGGUUCCAAAACUGGGCGAGAGCUCGAAACAAGUUCUCAUCAACCUGAAUAUCAAACAAAUAGGGCAAAUCUCCGUACUUACCGUAGAAUGAUUGCUUGGUCUCAUUGCCCCACUGAACCCAAAUCGCCUUAAACUCCUCCAAAUUAUUCUGUGUGACACUGAUGCGAGUGUAGUCUGACAGCUCCGACAUAUAUCCCACAGUUAUGCUAUCCCCUUUUCCUAGUUGAGUUUGCUCAAACCAUCUAUGGAUGUUAGCGUUGCCUUCCACUCUAUCAAGAAGUCCGUUUUCCAUAAUAAAAUUUCCUAACUUAGAAACCGACCGUGAAUCGAUACCUUUUAGAUGUAAUAUGACAUACAACAAAAUAAAGAAAAAUAAAUUGUCAGUAUCAUAUGAUAAAUAACUUAUCAGGGUAAUAAUCUAGAGUACCACUAUCCAAAUUGAGCUCCUACGGUUUUUCUAUAUGAGGUUUUAGUUCUAAAGUUUAAGGUACCCGAACCAGCAGAUUCCUCGAUCAUCACCCAUUAUAGGCUCAUUUGAAUCGAGUUCAGUUCAGGGGAAUACAUUUCCCUAUGGCUACACGGAGAUGAAAAUCUCACGAAACCACAGGUACGGAUGUAUCCUGAAAGUGAUCCACUAUCCUGCACGGAGGCGAAAACAUCACGAAGGCGUAGUUUCUCACUCCCACUUAAGGGUGUGACCACAACGGUCAUGCAAAUGCAAUGCGUAUCAGAAUAUAGCAACAUAUGUAAUAAUACAAACACAUGUAAUGCAAAGAGGAUUAAAUUUUAAAAUUUUUAAUUUCCAACAUUAAGACAAGAAAUAGUCAAUUACACGGCUUGACUCUCUUAUUAGUCCCCAGCGGAGUCGCCAAGCUGUCGAGACCAUUUUUAAAUCGAGUUUUGGAAAAUGGGAAUCGUCUUUAAGAGAAACGAAAACGGGAGUCGUCACUAAUCUUUUUAGGUGUGAUUGGAUUACCUCUAAAACAUUUUGCUUUAAAAUCAUUAGUUUUGGUCUACGAAAUCAAGAAAACGGGUUCGGGAGUCAGUUACGAACGAGGAAGGGUUGGCACCCUCGUAACGCCUAAAAAUUGGUACCUAAUUGACUAUCAAAUAUCUUUAAUGUCGGAAGUUUAAAAUUUUUAAGAUGCAAUCCUCUUUAGAAUAUUUUAAUUUUGAAAAUUAGGGUUCACUUGUAUCAAAUGAAUCAAAAUAUUACAUCCAAUAAGUUAGGAAGCAAUAUUUUUAAGACAUUCGAAGCUAAGCUAGCCCUUUUUGAAUAUCCUUAUCUCAAAACGACAAAACGCCAUAUCCAGUAAGUUAGAACACAACGCUUUGAAAUUCUAAGACAGUUGCUCGUAUUUUGAAAACCUUAAAAACUUAGAAGAGUGCUUGACUAUUCGAACUCAACGAGAAAAGUCGCAACCCAGUAAGUUAGGGCAUUACUUUUCUUGAAGUUUCCAAAUACCAAGCAUUGCCUUUUUAUUUUUGAAAACUUUUGAAUCUCGCUUUUAAUUAAUGCAUGAAGAACCAUAUAUAUACAUUAUAACAUGUAAGAUAGCAUAUUACAAUAAUAGGUAGCUAAAAAUGCAUUUAAAUAAUAUGAUAGCAAUAAUAUAAAGGUCCUAUACUAGAUACAUACAUAAAUAUAGCAAAUUUUAGUUACAUAACAACAUACAUAUUAAGAUAUACAUAGCAUAUAUUGAAGAUGAAUAAGCAAAAUAUACGAACAUACAAAGUAAUAAUUAAUUUAAAAAACGGUGCAUGAUGUACAAUUAAACAUAUAAAUACAUAUACAAAACAAAUGUGAUAAUAUAUAAAAAAAAAUAAUGUAGUAACAUAUAUAUAUCAAACAAACAACACUUAAUAAUAUUAUGAAACUAGCAUUUAAUAUAUAAAUGAUAUAAAAUAUAACAAUAUAUAAAAGAUUUAAUACAUAUUAAAAUACAAAAUAAGGUGAGUAAUUAUUUAAAAAAAUAUACAUAUAUAAUUAAAAUACAAUAUUUACUAAUGCAUGAUAAUAAUAUAGAUAAUAUAUAUGUAAUAAAAAACUUAAAUAAAUAUAAUGAAAUAUAAUAUGAAAUGUGUAUAAUAAUAAUGUAACAAAUAUUUUACAUAUAAAAAUAUAAUAAAAUAAAUAAUAUAAUAAAAAUAUAUAACAUAUAAUAAAAUUUAUAUAUAUAAUGUUACAAAUAAUAUAAAUAAAAUAAUAUAUUAUUAUAUACAUAACUAAUGUUUAUUAAAAAAAAAUAUAUAAAGUAUUUUAAAUAAAUUAAAUUAAAGGUAUAUAAGGAUUAAAAUUAAAUUUAAUUAAGGAAUUUAGGGUUAAUCACAAAUAAAUAAAGAAAAUUGGGCCAAAUUGGAACACAGACUAAAGCCGAGGGACUCACUGGGCAAUUUGCCCUAAUCCCAAAACGACACCGUUUCUCCAAAUACAAUUUUAAAGUUACUAUGAGGAUUAAAUUGAAACAAAAUUAGAACAUUAGAGCUAAAUUAAAAAAAUAUAUAAGAUGAAAUUUAAAAAAUUAAAAAGGCGAGAGGACCAAUUGGGCCAUUAACCCACUUUAAGAAAACACGCGGAUCCUUCCCGGGUAAUUGGGUCAACGCGCGGAUCCUGAGCCUUGAAACAACGCCGUUUUAUGCUUAUUGAGUUAAACUAAAAUGACGUCGUUUCAUUUGGGCUAUAUAAGCCAAAUUCUGAGCUUUAAAAUUAUUUUUGCACCCGGUUAGUAAAAAAAAAGAAGAGAAAUCCUCUAAAAGAAGACUUGGGGCCGGUCUUGGAGUACCGUCGUGCCUCCGUCCAGGGGUUUGCACGCGCUCACGCGCCCUUUUCUACUCUGCCACAUACGGUGGUCGGAAACCGAAAAUUUUCCUUUUUCCGACGCGAAUCAGAAUGGUACGUUUUCCUUUUCUUUUUUAUUGUUCGCAAUAUAUAUUUAAAAAAUAUUCACCUUUGUGUAUCUCGAUCGACUGUGGUACUUUUUCUGUAUAUAUAUGUAGAAAUAAACUUUUUAUUGAAUCUGUGUGUGUAUUCCCCCUAAAAAACCGUCCCUUACAUCCUUUCGAUUCGGGCUUUUUAUGGCCACUGAAAAGAAAAAGAAAAAUAUUUACAAUCUUUGAUUUAUUUCCUGCCAUAUUUGUUUCGUUUCUGUCGUUUUCUUUCCAUUUUUGCAGGUGUUCAAGGAGAGUAGACCACCGGCGUUGAUUUGCGCGUCGAUUACGGCAUAAGGUGGGGCCUAGAAUCACGGCAUUGAUGAAAGGUAGCUGAAACGACGGAAUUUGAAGAGGCACGACUCUUGGGGUGCUUGCGGCAAGAAGCUUCUGGAAACCCUAGGGUUUCCAGAUUCUGUUUAGGCGUUGGGCCUUGUUAAUUUUGGGCCGUUGAGUUGGGUCAAUGGUGUAAUGGGUAUAGGGUAGUGGUAGGCUUACGGGGUUGUUACCGGGCAUAAGGUUUUAGGCUAAUUGGGUCACAAGUGUAACGGGCUUUGGGCUUGGGUGUAACCGGGUUCUGGGUUAGCUGGGUAUUACCUUGUAAUUGGGCCUCAGGUAGACUUAAAUUUUUAGGCUCUAUAUAUGGACUAUUUAAAACAGUAAACAUUCAUUUAUUUUUUAUUUUUUGUUUAAAGCCCGGGCAAAUUUAGGUUAUUACAAGGCUAACAGAGUAGCACACGGACUGGCGAAGGAGGGCUGGAAAUUCGAUGACCCACAGUACUGGAUGGAAGAGGUUCCUAGCGAGAUGGAGGAUCUGGUUAAUAGGGACCGAAAUAGCAACAAUGGCAGAUGAGGCGUUCAUGACGAGUCCGGAUCGAGAAAUGAGAAUGUGAUUCGAUGAACCCGUGAAAUAACUAGAGGCUUGGGAUUGAAAAGUUAUUUGCUGAUGACGAUUCAGAAGAAGAGUCUUAGUAGCAACUGAUGCAACAAGAAGGGGGGCUCGGGGGAUUGGCUUUUCAUUUUCUUUUUUUUUUUUGCUUAAUUGGAUUCAUUUGUAUUGGCAAUUGUAAAGACUGAUUCAUUUAUUUCUUGUUUUCAUUUUCCCUAGACACCGAUUAGGCUGUCAAUUAGAAUACAACAGCUGUAGGAAGUAUUUAUUGUUUGUGUAAGGCAUUGGCUAAAAUCCCAUCAAUAAGAGCAUCAGUUGAAACGUUCAAAAAAAAAUAAUUAUAUUGUUAUAAAGA
rnacentral:lncRNA from 1 species